rnacentral:snRNA from 1 species
AGCUUUGCGCAGUGGCAGUAUCAUAGCCAAUGAGGUUUAUCCGAGGUGCGAUUAUUGCUAAUUAAAUAAAUAAAAUCAUAAAU